GACGAACGCUGGCGGCGUGCCUAAUACAUGCAAGUUGAGCGCUGAAGGUUGGUACUUGUGCCGACUGGAUGAGCAGCGAACGGGUGAGUAACGCGUGGGGAAUCUGCCUUUGAGCGGGGGACAACAUUUGGAAACGAAUGCUAAUACCGCAUAAAAACUUUAAACACAAGUUUUAAGUUUGAAAGAUGCAAUUGCAUCACUCAAAGAUGAUCCCGCGUUGUAUUAGCUAGUUGGUGAGGUAAAGGCUCACCAAGGCGAUGAUACAUAGCCGACCUGAGAGGGUGAUCGGCCACAUUGGGACUGAGACACGGCCCAAACUCCUACGGGAGGCAGCAGUAGGGAAUCUUCGGCAAUGGACGAAAGUCUGACCGAGCAACGCCGCGUGAGUGAAGAAGGUUUUCGGAUCGUAAAACUCUGUUGGUAGAGAAGAACGUUGGUGAGAGUGGAAAGCUCAUCAAGUGACGGUAACUACCCAGAAAGGGACGGCUAACUACGUG
rnacentral:rRNA from 1 species